UCGUCCGUAUGGUGCUUUCUCGUCAAGAGAGAAACCGAUCGGUCACCGGUUCAGGAUUUUGCCUGCCCGGAAACGCCUCCAUGUUCCCCCAUCCAGGCCUGUUGAAUGUGAGAUAGCCUAAACGGGACAUGAAUACUUCAGGCUUAUAUAGAAGCUGGACAUCUGGCCACUUGGAAAUAAACAUUGGGUGCAAACCGAAUACCAAUGUACAUAUCAAUAAACAUUCAGUGCUAUAA